GAUAUUAUUUCUCUAUAAUGAACCUGGAAAAAUAGAAGAUAUGAUGGGAAACAAUUAAAAGUAACUUUUAACAACAACAAUGGAAUACAUAUUGGUAAUCAUUUCAAUUGGAAAAAUAAGAAUCCUCAGGGUUGUCAGCAAAAUGGGGUAACCCGUGAAAUGAUUGGGCAUAAAACAAUCAUAUCUUUGGCAGACACUGCCAUCACAAGCAAAAUAUAUACAUAUACACAGAGAAUAAU
rnacentral:misc_RNA from 1 species